CCGCAUGGGGAUAUUUGCUAAAGAUUCAUCGCUGAUAGAUAGGCAUGCGUUCCAUUAGGCAGUUGGCGGGGUAACGGCCCACCAAACCAACGAUGGAUAGGGGUUCUGAGAGGAAGGUCCCCCACAUUGGUACUGAGACACGGACCAAACUCCUACGGGAGGCAGCAGUGAGGAAUAUUGGUCAAUGGGCGUAAGCCUGAACCAGCCAAGUCGCGUGAGGGAUGAAGGUUCUAUGGAUCGUAAACCUCUUUUAUAAGGGAAUAAAGUGUGGGACGUGUCCUAUUUUGUAUGUACCUUAUGAAUAAGGAUCGGCUAACUCCGUGCCAGCAGCCGCGGUAAUACGGAGGAUCCGAGCGUUAUCCGGAUUUAUUGGGUUUAAAGGGUGCGUAGGCGGCCUUUUAAGUCAGCGGUGAAAGUCUGUGGCUCAACCAUAGAAUUGCCGUUGAAACUGGGGGGCUUGAGUAUGUUUGAGGCAGGCGGAAUGCGUGGUGUAGCGGUGAAAUGCUUAGAUAUCACGCAGAACCCCGAUUGCGAAGGCAGCCUGCCAAGCCAUGACUGACGCUGAUGCACGAAAGCGUGGGGAUCAAACAGGAUUAGAUACCCUGGUAGUCCACGCAGUAAACGAUGAUCACUAGCUGUUUGCGAUACAGUGUAAGCGGCACA
rnacentral:rRNA from 1 species